rnacentral:rRNA from 1 species
UAUACGACUCUCGGCAACGGAUAUCUCGGCUCUCGCAUCGAUGAAGAACGUAGCGAAAUGCGAUACUUGGUGUGAAUUGCAGAAUCCCGUGAACCAUCGAGUCUUUGAACGCAAGUUGCGCCCGAGGCCUUUCGGCUGAGGGCACGCCUGCCUGGGCGUCACGC